rnacentral:rRNA from 1 species
GCAGUCUGCAACUCGACUGCAUGAAGCUGGAAUCACUAGUAAUCGCGGAUCAGAAUGCCGCGGUGAAUACGUUCCCGGGUCUUGUACACACCGCCCGUCACACCAUGGGAGUUGGUAACGCCCGAAGUCAGUGACCUAACCGAGAGGGAGGAGCUGCCUAAGGCGGGACCGAUAACUGGGGUGAAGUCGUAACAAGGUAAC